rnacentral:misc_RNA from 1 species
GAUGAAGAACGUAGCGAAAUGCGAUAAGUAGUGUGAAUUGCAGAAUUCAGUGAAUCAUCGAAUCUUUGAACGCACAUUGCGCCCUUUGGUAUUCCUUAGGGCAUGCCUGUUCGAGCGUCAUUUAAACCUUCAAGCUAAGCUUGGUGUUGGGUGACUGUCCGCUUCACGGCGGACUCGCCUCAAAAUUAUUGGCGGCCGGUACAUUGGCUUCGAGCGCAGCAGAAACGCGAACUCGGGCCCGUCGUAUUGGCUCCCAGAAGCUAUCUUCACAAUUUUGACCUCGGAUCAGGUAGGGAUACCCGCUGAACUUAAGCAUAUCAAUAACGGAGGA